rnacentral:rRNA from 1 species
UACGUAGGGCGCAAGCGUUAUCCGGAAUUAUUGGGCGUAAAGAGCUCGUAGGCGGUGUGUCGCGUCGGCCGUGAAAACCUGCAGCUUAACUGUGGGCUUGCGGUCGAUACGGGCAUCACUGGAGUUCGGCAGGGGAGACUGGAAUUCCUGGUGUAGCGGUGGAAUGCGCAGAUAUCAGGAGGAACACCGGUGGCGAAGGCGGGUCUCUGGGCAGUAACUGACGCUGAGGAGCGAAAGCGUGGGGAGCGAACAGG